rnacentral:misc_RNA from 1 species
GCAAUGGAAGUUCAGGAGAGUUGAGAUACUGCAUCACUCUUCCGGCUGAAGGCCUUCCGUUGUCUGCUGGGUUUGUGCACAAUAAACCGACAAUCAUCAAGCAUUCCAUUUCUUUUGGGUCAAAUUCCUUCUUUAAUUUUUUGUCAGCUGCAUCUAGUAUUUUUUCCGCUUUAUACAGUGUCCAGACUUCCUUAAUCAACUUUUGAGGAUCAUUAUUUCUGUAAUUCAUCUUUCCACAAGCAAUUUCCAA